ensembl:snRNA U7 U7 small nuclear RNA
CAGCGUUAUAGCUCUUUUAGAAUUUGUUUAGUAGGUUUUCUGGCUUUGAAAGCCCCA